rnacentral:rRNA from 1 species
UACGAAGGGGGCUAGCGUUGUUCGGAAUUAUUGGGCGUAAAGGGAGUGUAGGCGGUUUCCUAAGUCUUCUGUGAAAUCGUACGGCUUAGCCUGUAACGUGCAGAGGAAACUGGGAGACUUGAGUGUCGGAGAGGAUAGGGGAAUACCCAGUGUAGAGGUGAAAUUCGUAGAUAUCGGGAAGGAACACCGGUGGCGAAGGCGGCGAUCUGGGUCGAUACUGACGCUGAGGUGCGAAAGCGUGGGGAGCAAACAGG